rnacentral:misc_RNA from 1 species
UCGUACAACUGAGGUGCGAGGGCUGUCGCUGACUUUUCGUCGUGCACGCCCGAGCGCUCUCAUACAUCCACCUCACCCCUAUGUGCACCACCGCGUGGGUCCCCUUUCGGGGGGGCUCGCGUUUUCACACACAAACUCGAUACAGUGUAGAAUGUCCUUCUUUGCGAUCACACGCAAUUAAUA